rnacentral:rRNA from 1 species
UACGUAGGGUGCGAGCGCUAAUCGGAAUUACUGGGCGUAAAGCGUGCGCAGGCGGUUUUGUAAGCCAGAUGUGAAAUCCCCGGGCUUAACCUGGGAAUGGCAUUUGGGACUGCAAGGCUCGAGUGCGGCAGAGGAGACUGGAAUUCCUGGUGUAGCAGUGAAAUGCGUAGAUAUCAGGAGGAACACCGAUGGCGAAGGCAGGUCUCUGGGCUGACACUGACGCUCAUGCACGAAAGCGUGGGGAGCAAACAGG